rnacentral:miRNA from 1 species
AAGGUGUUUCCCUCGGACAAA